GAUGUGGAGCCUUUUGAUGCCAGUGUGUGGUCAGGGUCUGCCCACGUGUACCACGCUGCCGUGCAAACAGGAAACACAAUGCCUGCAAUUUUCGUGUUUUUAAUAACAAGGACACCGUCCUGGACUUCCCUCCGUCAGGUUGUUCUAGGCUAUGGCAUCUUGUUUGCAAGAGGGAUUGAAAUACUUUUCCUGAGGUACCCCCCCUAUCUCCCAGUUUCUUCAGAAUGACUCUGUGCUUAGUAUCUGGCUCCUGAUUUUUGUCAGUCUUUACACUUUUUAAUUUAUUUACUGCGUAUGGUAUCAUUCAUUCCAAUUUCUUUUAGUCUUUCUUCUGCCCCAUCUCCUUGGGGAACCUUCUGGCUAUUAUUGGCUUCUGUUAUGCUUUUUGCCUCUUAAAACCGAAGCAAAGAUUGUGUUUGUAUUAUUAGUGUCUUUUCUCAGUUAGUGAAUCUGAUGCAAGAAUAUAGGAACCAUCAAACUUGAUUAAAAACUGCCAGUUUCUGGCAGCCCCUUGCCUCUGCAAGGAGCCAGCUCUGCACGUCUCAGAGAAAAGAGCAAACCCUUAUCUGCUGUAAGCAGCCGCGAGGAUGCCCACUUACAGAAGCGUGGUGAAAGAAGCCAGUGGGUUGCUCAUCUCAUGCUGCUUGAUGUUCUCUGUCCCCAUUUAGUUGUGUUUAUACAAUCUGUAGGCAUUAGGGAGGUUCUCUUUGUACAUACAUUUCAUCCUUCUACAAGUUAUUGCUUACAUUUAAUACAUAAAUCCAUCAAGUCUCAAGGGAGUACUUCAUUGUUCUUAAGUAUCUCAUUUUCAAGGUAAUAUUGAAGAAGAGAUCAUCAAUUUAAAUAUAUUGCCUCCUAAGUUCAUUUCAUAUUCUUUUCUUGCUUUAUGGAAAAAAUGGACAAACAAGACCACCCAUUCACCCUUCCCUGUGUCCUUCUCAGCUCCUUCUUGGCACUCCUUCUUGCAUUCUCUCCAUGAAUCAUCGCCUCAGCUCUCCCAUUGAAGUCUGUGGCAGUGAGACAAGCAUCUCAGGAUCUGACCUUGUUUUUACCCAUACUAAAGAAUUAUCCAAAACCACUCACGUUUCUCUCACAGCAAGAUCUUUUUUAUUUUGUUUGUUGCCUGACAGCACAUGCAGCCCAGGACAUACUUCCGCUGGCGUGAGAUUUCUACCCAUUUACUUUUCAGUGUUCACCUGUUUAUUUAUCCACUCACCUUCACCAUAUACAGCUUGCAUUUUGUCAAAAAGUCCUGAGUUAAAAAAUGCUGAACCAUACCUUUAUUAUUUCUUCCUCUAAUUCCUAACCAGUAAUUUGAGAAGUCUAUGGACAUUUGGAUCCCGAUUCUGUUCAUGUGCAGGUGAACUUCAGAAAUUAGCUUUUGGCUUGCAGUGGACCAAGCUGUUCUGCAUGCAGUUAGUUGGAUGUCCCAGAAGUGAAAAGCGAGCAUGACUGCACAAGACUCUACAAGUGUAAUUUCAUGUUUGAAUAUGUCCAAAGUAUCUAACAAUGUCUUUAUUCUCCAAAUUCCACUGAGUUCCUAGACAUCUGAACAAAAUUCUCUACUGGACUCAAUAACUGUGAUGGCGAAGAGGGCAGUAUGCCAUUUAUAGGGUCCACGCCACUGACCUUCAAAAAUACAAAUCUGCUUUUACAAACAGAUGGAGAAAAGAUUGCAAGGAGCACUUCACUGGUUUGGAUAGGACCAUAGUUGUACAUUCAUGGCAGAACUGAUGCUGAAAGCCAAGUCUCCAGCUCCAGUCUUCUUCACAUGGUGAUGUUGCCUUUGUGUUGCUACGUGCUAGUGUUCCUUAUGGGCAAUCUCAUGUGUGUCUUUCCAUGCCUCCUCGCACCACACCCACAACUGCAGCAGGGAGGCUGUAGACUCUUUUUCAAUCCUUCUGAAGAUCAUAGCAAAAAUAGUGGGCCACAAAUCAAAAUGUAGAAUGGCAGCUUUGCUUCAUGCCCAUGCCUGUAGAAGAGUGGGAGAGCUACUGUUCCUUCUUACUCUUGUUCCAGUGCUUGCCUGAAGUAAAUGUAUCAGGUUUUGUUUACAAUCAAGCCUUCCUUUUGCAACUAAAAAGACAUUUCUAUAGUUUUCUCUGAAGAGCUAUUUUUUUAGAUGAAUAUAUAGGUACAGCCUCAUCAUUCUUACCGUUUAAAAUUUCCAGUUUCUAGUUGGUCUAGUUGCUUCUUCUCCAAAUGAAAUUAUCACCCGAAGUCCCAAUUAUGUCAAAGAAAGUAUGAUUAAAUGCUUUGCAGAUAUGUUUGCCCAUUUCUUCCCAAUCCAUUCUACUAGUGUUACCGUUGCUUCUGUUCCACAAAAGCUAUUGUGACAGCAACAGGGCAAACACCAACGCCAGGACAUACAUCAGUUUAACUUGUUUAAUUAGUUUAAAACUUCUUAAAUAAUCAUUUAGAAAAUAAAUUUAUUAACUUAAAAUCAUUCACACCUUACAUGCUUGCAGUGCUCACUGAGACCUACUUUCAUAAAGCAGAAAAAGAAGUUUGUAGUGCAAUCCUUAAAGGUUUAUUAUCUGAAAACUGAGAAAAGAUAGACUGUUAUCCAAGAGCUAGGAAGAGGGAAAGGCUGCCAUACUCUAGAUUUACUGUAGGGUCAUCCUUAACACUUGUUGAUUUCUCUAGAUUGUUUUAUCACCUUGGUUGUUAUUACUGCCAUGAUGAAUUGAUUUAGUAUUUGUAUUAUCUAAUCUAGAAAGGAUUUUGUGGGUCAAUAAGAUGUUUCAGAUGGGUGUUGAAAAACACUCUGUAAAUGCUUCCACCUUCCUGGGACUCUUUUGGGAUAAAUAGCAUUAGGGAUUAAGGUUUAUAUAGGUAUUAGUACUCCUGUUUUGCAGAGGGAGAAACUGAGACACUAUGGUUAAAUUACUUCACUGGUGACCAAAGAAAUGGGACACAGCUUUAGGCAGUAAGAACCUGUGCUAAAGCUACAGAGUGAUUUUGCAGUUUCAUCCUGGUGGCCCAGUCAGGCAGGUUGUGUUAUCUGGAAACCGAGUUGUCUCCAUCUGUCUCAAAGAGUAAAUUGGAAGUCUUUGCAGGGAACAUGCCUAGAAACACCAGCAUCAAGCAGAAGCUGAAGCUGAUGUGCUGUUCUCACGUAAAAAGAUGAAUCCCAAAAGAGAGGGAAAGGUGACGGGUGACCGUGAAUUUUGACUGCCUGGGGUGUGUUGUAGACUGUGUCGACAGGUAUAGAAACUCACUCCUCAAAAUAAGUGACAGAGAUAAAAGGAAGCCCCAGGAAGCCUGACUCCCACUCCUCAACUCUAAUAGCAGAAAGAAAUCCCAGAGAUGGCUUUGCAGUCUGAAGACUCUUAAGAAAUUUGGCUGAAAAUCCAGGACAAUGAGAGGAUAAUAUCAGGAUGAUCUCUAUGGGGUUUAUCUACACUUUUGUACUCAAAAAAUAAUCCAAAUUAACUGGUUUCAGAUUUUUUUAAAUGGAUCAUUAAACCAAGCUGUGUACAUUGCUGUGAGGAUCACCUUUCAGCCUUUAAUCUCUCGCCACUGAACAAAAAAGAAACAGGUCAUUCUGCCUGGCAAACUGUUAUGGGGAGAGAUGAAGAUGUCCCACAGCUGGGUCUGAGGGUCCCAGUUUCCUGACCGGAACUUUGUGCAGACUGGCAGUCUGACAGCUGUUCAUCUGCUCCCUGACCCAGAGCUCUACGGGGAAACCACCUCAGUGACAUCAAGGGUGACAUGGUGUACCAGAGCCCCACCACAUGACUGACUUAACUCUUGUGCUACUACAGCAUCUGUCAACUAGCUUGUCUGUGGAAAAAAAAAAAUUACCUGGGAUGUCAACUAAAAAAACAAACCAAACCAAAAGCAACAAUAAACACACAAAAAAACAGCAUAAUAAAGUUCAAGAUUAUUGUACUUUCUGCACAUGUAAGAAACAUUCACCCAAAUGGUCUUUUUAUCCUACUACUUAAUUCAAUUUACAAUAAUAUAGCAAUUGCCCAGGAUCAUGAACACGUUCAUGUGCAGAAAGCAAACAAACUCAGUAAGUUGCUGACGAAAACAAACAAACCAAAUGUCUUUCCCCAGAACAACAUGCUCUCAACCAUCAUCAAAAAAGACACCUGUGUAAAAAUGGUGACAAAAAGCUCAUACUUAAGGCACCCUCUCCUGUACUGCACUACUUGUGAUAUAAAACCAUGUAGUUUAUUUCAGCAUACAAAAAGAUUUUAUCUGAAAAUACUUUGUAGUAGCUCUUUCUAGCAUAGGAAUUAUGGGCCAUUAGCUAGAGAAUAAGAAAUUUAGAGUCAAAAUCCAGUGUAGCCUAAACUGUAUUCAACUCAUUCAUUUAUAAGACAGCAGCAAGACACCAAUACCUUUACUCAAAUAGUUGGAUGUGAAAGUAAUCAGUGGUCUAAGUCCAGAUGCUAAAGGCAGGUGUGAAAAUAAUAAAAAUUACUCAAUCAGAUGCCACUAAGUGGUCGUGUGGCUUGACUCCUCAGCAUAAUGUAUCAGGAAGGUGGGGAGAAGUACAAGGCAACAGCAGCUGGAAAAGUGCAAGAGAAGAGGAGUUUCAUCCUGAGGAAAAAAUAGUGUCAGCACAUUCAUAAGAGCAGAAUGGGAGAAGAGUGUGUGACAGGCACACUUUCAGUGGAGUAAAGGAGAGCAGGUUAUUUCAGAUCUGAAAAUUUCAAAUUUAACCAUAAAAUAUCAUUGUCAGUCUCCUGCAGAAGUCUGAAUACCAAGGUAUUAGUUGAACAUGAAACUACAGUUACAGGAAGAAAAAUAUAUGGCCUGAAGGAGUGGAUCAAAAGAAAGAACAAAAUAUCUGAAGAGCUGGAUGCUAUAGAAAAUCCUGGAUUGACAGUGAAAAACCAGGAAAAUAUUUUAUUUCUAAAAUUGAUGGCACCAUCAUGCUUAAAAUCGCAUUAUGGAUCAUGCUUUACUGAUCUGUGGAUGCAGAGAACAUGAGGACACCCAGGUAAAGCCUGAAGAGCCACCAUAGGCUUAUAAAUAGUGGUGAAUAGCAAAAUAAAUAAAUAACCUAUAAUUAAAUUGUAAUUCAACUACAACCAAAUAGGCACAAAGGAAAAUGAGCUUUGGCUCCAAUUUCUCAGAGAAAAGUUGAUAGUCCUACUUCAAAAAAAUAGGUGGGAGAAAAAUGUAUCCUUUUGCAAGUGCAUUUUCCUAAUUUUAACUACCACAUUUAACUACCAGCUCUUAAAUCAUGUCUAAAAAGGCCAGGAAAACACAUUAGCACCUCUGCACAAGUAUUGUGUUUUGUUUGAAUAUGGUCGGCUUGGGGAGAGAGGAAAGAAAGAUUUCUAGUCUCCCUAGAGAUAAGGCCUGGGGGCUGUUGGCACAAGCACUAACCAGGGUAGUGAUUAAAGAUAACUGAAAGAAAAUGCCUUUAAAGUAGAAUUCACAAAACAAAACAAAGCAAAACAAAAUAAUAAACAAACAAACAGAAAACACAUUGGGCAGCAAAUAGGAGACAGGACCUCAGUGAAGAGUGUUUAAUAAUUAGGUCACUUCUCAGUUGCAAAACUCUUUUGGGAACUACAAACGUAUUCUAAAACAGGAGUCAGAAACCUGCCAAAGCUGAUUUGCCUGGCUGUUUCAGAAGCCCUCCUGGGUUCCCUAGUUUAGUUUUCACCCUCACAAUUAUCCCUCUGCCAGGGCAACCAAUACAGUACAUUGACUAACUUCUGGAGCCGCUCACUGCCACCCUCACAGAGUUACCAGCAGAGCUCUGGGAGGCAUAUGCUGGUGGCUGCUUCUGAGCAGCUCCCAGCAUUGACCAGAGGAAUGAGUGACGGACCAACCAAGAAUUUCUGUGCAGAGGGAGACAGUACAAUUCGGAGUUAUCUACUGCCUUAAAAAAUUUUCCCUUUCUGUGGUCAUUUGUCUUCUAUCCCUGUUUCCAGGUCAGCAGAGCACUUGCACAUACAUUAUAUGUUGAGGUACACAUCGAGGGCCUUUGCACAGUUCUGACUUGGUGUGUGCAGGCUCUGUCAUGCAGCUCAUUCAGAAAAUACCAUCCAAUUGAAUAUUAGCCAGCAGUUACACCCUGAAUCCAGAAGUGGAUUCACAGUUAUGAUAGAAAAGAAGGACA